rnacentral:lncRNA from 1 species
CUAUUAGCCCAUUAUUUUCACUAGAUCUCUUUGAAAUUCCAAUCGGGUAUAUAACACUCGUACUGCAUUACUAUUACAACGAAGGCGCAGCUGCUUAGCCGAAACCCUAGUUUGUGAGUCUCUAAUUCUCCUUUGUUAUCAUCUCUGCUUUUCUCCUAAUGAAUUUAUCUAAUAUUAUGAGUUAAUUUAUUAGAAGGUAAGAGGGAAAAAAUGGCGGUGCCACUGUUGAACAAGAAGAUAGUGAAGAAGAGAGUUAAGCAGUUCAAGAGAGCUCAAAGUGACCGCAGAAUCACUGUCAAGGUAACUAACUCUUUUUAUGUUUUAUUAUUCCUGAUUUUUAAUGCUUAGAUUUUCUAUGUGCUAUUUUAGUAGGUUAUGUAUGAUUAGUUGAGGUGUCGAAGCUGAUUUGGAUAAAUACUGUUAUUGGAAAUUAAAAUUAUUGGGGAGAAAGGGAAAUUGGUUCUGUUUGUAGCCUUAGCGUUGUUUUUUUCUCUGCACAGUAAUGAUUCAAAAUACAUUUUUCCUUGUUUUCAGGUUUGUCCAUUUUGUAAUAUACUAGG